rnacentral:rRNA from 1 species
UACAGAGGUCUCAAGCGUUGUUCGGAUUCAUUGGGCGUAAAGGGUGCGUAGGUGGCGCCAUAAGUCAGGUGUGAAAUCUCGGGGCUCAACCCCGAAACUGCACUUGAUACUGUGGUGCUCGAGUACUGGAGAGGAGAUUGGAAUUUACGGUGUAGCAGUGAAAUGCGUAGAUAUCGUAAGGAAGACCAGUGGCGAAGGCGAAUCUCUGGACAGUUACUGACACUGAGGCUCGAAGGCCAGGGGAGCAAACGGG